rnacentral:rRNA from 1 species
GAUGAACGCUGACAGAAUGCUUAACACAUGCAAGUCGUUGGCGAAGCUGUGCUCGCACAGCCUAGCCAAGGCGGACGGGUGAGUAACGCGUAAGGAACUUGCCCUGCAGUCAGGGAUAACAGACGGAAACGACUGAUAAGACCUGGUAAAGUCAGGCGGACUCAUGUUCAGCCCGAUAAAAAGGGAUGCUGCAGGAGAGCCUUGCGUCCUAUUAGCUUGUUGGUGGGGUAACGGGCCACCAAGGAGAUGAUAGGUAGCCGGCCUGAGAGGGGGGACGGCCACGAGGGGUCUGAGAUGCAGCCCUUACUCCUACGGGAGGCAGCAGUGGGGAAUAUUGGACAAUGGGGGCAACCCUGAUCCAGCAAUUCUGUGUGCACGAUGAAGGUUUUCGGAUUGUAAAGUGCUUUCAGCAGGGAAGAAAAAAAUGACGGUACCUGCAGAAGAAGCGACGGCUAAAUACGUG